rnacentral:lncRNA from 1 species
CCCUGACCUUUUAUCUACGCGCGCUGCUUCUUCUUAUCCCCUGCGCCACUCAAGCUCGUGGAAAAAUCCCACCGCCCAGCCUCUGUCUUCCACCUCCGUCCAUCGUCCCUCUCCUUGAGCCUCUUCCCCAGCCGCGCCCUACUCGGUUCCCCCUGCGUCGCGCGCCUGGCUUGCUCCCUGCUAGGCGUUCUCCUCCCCUGCUUCUAUAGCGGCUGAGCUCCCUCUGCUUGCGCGUCCCUUGCUCCUCCCAGCCGGCCGAGCUCCUGCUUCCCCUCCGUGGAGCACCCCCUGCUCCUGCUCCCCGAGCUCGCCCCUGCGCUCGGAUUUUCUCCCUCGGCCAUGGUAGCCGCGCGCCAUUCCUGCUCGCCCUUCGCUCGGCCGCCUCUCCUUGGUCUCCCAUGGCGCCCUGGCUGCGACCUCGCCUUGGUUAUCACAUCUUCUCGUGUUGUUGUGCGUUUGUUGAUGUUUUAGUCAUCGCAUAGCUCGCUGAUGGCCGGGCAUUUCACCUUCGAUUAGCUCACCAUGACGCCGACGUCUAGCCCUGACUCCAGUCUCCUCGCCACGAAAGCACAACCGCUACUCAGUGUGUUGAUGUCAUAUGCGUGGCACCGUCGUGGGUUGUCGUCGUUCGUCGUCGCGUCAUGUGUGCAACAACGUCGCUGAUUCCUCCAUGGUGCUUGUCGAUGAACUUCGCUUCAUAGGUUCCCCGCCUUCGGUUCGGCUCACGUAUGCACACCGAACGCAUUCACCGCUUGACCCUGUGUCGCUGUGUCGCUAGAGCUCGUGACCUCGCCGUCGUCGGAGUCCUCACUGGAUUCGUGUCCUCGUAAGAGCUCGCGCUAACCUGCUCGACCACACCUCACCAGCUCGCUGCAGACUCGAUCUCGUCGUCAUUCCGUGCGUCAUCAAGAAAACCCAAGAGUCGGGUGAAGACGAAGCUAGCAGCGUGAUGUUCACCAAGUACUCGACGCAAGGGCUGAACCAGAAUCCUUGCCGUAUUCGCAGAUAGCUUGUCAGAUUUAGUAUGGUAAGCCGAUUCAUAUUUCUGUUAGCUUAAUUAUUGGUUUGAUGAAUAGAUUGUGUACAUAAGCAUGAAGUGGUUGUGUCACGCGAAACUCAAUUUUAAAAUGAUUAUUGUGUGAGGAGUGGUUAAGUGAAUAAUAAGUCUAGUGUCUCGCUCAUAUAGCUGAUAAAUACGGUCGUGGUUAUAUUAAAUGGUUGUUAAAAUGUAUCAUAGGUAGUAUGUGGUGAUGCUCAUAAAUGUAGAGUUGACACAUCGUCUUUGUAUGAUGAAGCAUAGGUUUGGGGUGUUAAUUAUGUUGAAGAUAUUGAUAGACAUAUAUGCCAUAUUUUGGCUAGUUCAUAACAUGUAAAAUAGGUUUGGGAUUUUAAUCAGCCAGCCAAUAGUUUCUACUUGAAUAGUAGUGGUGAAGUAGUGAUUUGCUUUAAUAGUGUCGUAUUAUGUUGUUAAUCGGCUAGGUUUCAUAGAUGAAUGUUGAUCACUUAAGUCGACAUUUAGGGAUAAAUGUGGGUC